ensembl:misc_RNA Metazoa_SRP Metazoan signal recognition particle RNA
GCCAGGUGCAGUGGCACAUGCCUGUAGUCACAGCUCACAGGAGGCUGAGGCAGGAGGAUUGCUUGAAGCCAGGAAUUCUGGGCUAUUAUAGUGUGCUCUGCUGAUUGGGUGUCCACACUAAGUUCGGUAUCAACAUGUUGAUCUCCUGGGAGUGGUGGACCUGCUCAGGCCAGAAAUGGAGCAGGUCAAAAUUCCCGUCCUGGUCAGUAGUGUUAUCGCCCCUGUGAAGAGCCACAGCACUCUAGCCUGGGCAACAUAGUAAGACCCUGUCUCAC